CGGAUGGAGCGACGCCGCGUGGAGGACGAAGGCCUUCGGGUCGUAAACUCCUGUCAUGCGGGAACAAGAAAGUGAUAGUACCGCAAGAGGAAGGGACGGCUAACUCUGUGCCAGCAGCCGCGGUAAUACAGAGGUCCCGAGCGUUGUUCGGAUUCAUUGGGCGUAAAGGGUGCGUAGGUGGCGAUGUAAGUCUGGUGUGAAAUCUCAGGGCUCAACCUUGAAAUUGCAUUGGAUACUGCGUUGCUUGAGGAUUGUAGAGGAGAGUGGAAUUCACGGUGUAGCAGUGAAAUGCGUAGAUAUCGUGAGGAAGACCAGUUGCGAAGGCGACUCUCUGGGCAAUUCCUGACACUGAGGCACGAAGGCCAGGGGAGCAAACGGGAUUAGAUACCCCGGUAGUCCUGGCAGUAAACGGUGCACGUUUGGUGUGGGCGGGUUCAGACCCCGUCCGUGCCAGAGCUAACGCGUUAAACGUGCCGCCUGGGAAGUACGGUCGCAAGAUUA
rnacentral:rRNA from 1 species